rnacentral:lncRNA from 1 species
AUGACAUCUUCUACAGAGGUUUCUGAAAUGGCUAAUUGAGGAUAUAGACAGUGAACUUAACACAAGUUAAGAAUCUGAUACUGAAUCACAUCCUAUCAAAACACAAAUUAACAAUAUGAUACUGAAUCACAUCCUAUCAAAACACAAAUACAUUAAUCGAUGAAAAUUUGGACUCAAAUGGUUAAGAAAAGUGGCUAUAGGGACUUAGGGUGUUAAACAUUUUGAUUUUGGACUCAAGUGGUUAAAACCACUAAAACACAGGGACUCAAAAAGUAAUUUACCAUAGAUAAUUAGUGAACUUAACACAAAGUUACAAUUAGAUAAUAGAUACUUAAUCACUUCACACCUAUCGAUGAAAAUAUAGGUCAAAUUGAUUAUAGAUAGUGAACUUAACACGAACUUACAAUCUCCGAACAAAACACAAAUACACGAAUCGAUGAAAAUAUAGGUCGAAUUGAUUAUAUAUAGUGAACUUAACACAAACUUACGAUCUCUGAUCAAAACACAAAUACACGAAUCGAUGAAAAUAUAGGUCAAAUUGAUUGUAGAUAGUGAACUUAACACAAAUUUACUAUCGGAUACUGAAUC